rnacentral:piRNA from 1 species
UAACAUUUGAUGUGGUGCAUCGGAUGCAUC